AGUAUCAUUAAAGCUUCCCAGGUGAUCCCAAUAAGAACAAGAAGCAAAGGUUCAGGAAGGUCACGUCAGAACUGAUCCAGAAAGGUCCAGAGGGAUGCCGGUGCCAUAAAGCCGUCUGCUUGGCAUCGGUGAAGAACGCGCUCCCCCUUGUUGCCCAUGCAGUGCCUGCCUGGAAAGUAGAAAUAAACACGCCUUUUGGCCUCGUUAGACUAUUUUGUCCAAUGUUCGUUAGACAUGUAUCGUUCAUGAAACCCCAGAAGAACCUCAAAAACGUGCAAAAAUGGACCAGUGGAAGUUGGUGCAAUGCAUCCAGCCCUUUGUUUCAAAAGACUGUGCAGAUCCCGUAAGCACCUUUCUCUCCAAAGAACGGAGGAAUUUUUAUAAUGCAGUCAUGGACAUGGAGAUCGGUGAGAAAGAAAAUGGGCCAUUAAAACCACGCCGUCUUUUUGAAACAUAGUGCCCUGCACCAAAGUAAGGUUUUAAACAGAAUUGCCACAUAGUGGAACUGGUUUCAAUGCAUUCUUCUCUUUUUAUUCCUUUCUUAGCUUUUGGAGGCAGCCAAUGAGAAAUUAAAUGGUGAAGAGACUAGAAGUGGUAGCACUAUAGCCUUGCAUCACACAUACCAUGGAGGGUAACUCCUGGAGGAAUCAAAGCUGACUUUUGUAAGGAUGGGUUAAUUUGGAUAAUUCUCAAAUGGUGCAUAGGUUGCCUUCUAAAUGUUCACUUGUAAAUUGGUUGUUUAAAACUCAGAACAAAAUUCUUACACACAUAUCACCCAAUACAAUAUUCCCAAGUGAACCCAGCAACACCCAUUUAAUUCAUGACUGAGUCACAAAAUGUACUACGCCUGAUCCAACAAUAGGAUCCAGGUAAAGCAGCCAAUAAGAGGAGAUGAAAGACUUCCUCCUCCCUUUUUUGUGUCUAUUAUAUGAUGUGUCAGAGCUAACGAAUGUCUAGGGUCCUUUCUGUAUGUAUUCCCCUCCUGUGUUUUUCUCCCCAGAUGCCCUAUUCUCCAUGUCCUUUAACCCCCUGCUCUAACCCUUCCCAUCUCACCCCUUCCCUGUCAGCAUGUCAGCAUACUUCAUGAUCCAAAAUGGCCUAACUCCAGUUCCAUGCAUCUUGGCUUGAUGUUCAGAAGGGAGCAGUCCAACUGAACGAAUUCUGAAUGCCUGAGAGUCCUUUCACUUCUCAGAGGCGCUGCAUUUCUAAAAGCAGUUGCUUUCUUACUCCCAUCAGCAACUCAUUGAUAGAAUUGCCAACAAAGUACAAAAAACAACAACAACAAACAAACAAACAAAAAACAGGCCGUGAGAGGAGGUCUAGAAAACUGACUGGGUCAGACCCCCACAUUGUCCUUGUUGAUCACAGCAGCUUCCUCCGGACCUCCUCCUCCCCACAAUCCCAAAGUGCCUUCCACGCUGAGAUCCUGGCCUGCGUCUGUUUGUAUGUGGACUAUAAAUCGAUCAUUAACUAAAAGACCAAGUUACUUGUCAUGACUUUUAUUCACGGUCUCUUACAGGGUCCCUGGUUAACCUGGCCUCAAAGUAUUUCUGAUGAUGGUUGGGUUGAAAAUCAAUGUGCCUUACCAGUAAGUUGUACAGUCACUUAGAUUGCAGUAGAGUUUGUUGAACUCCUUUACACCAUUAAUUGUUUUUUCUUCAGUGGAUCAAUAUUUCAAAAAGUUAAUUACUAAAGCUUUGCUUAAAGAAUGCCAAGCAUCUUCUAAACCUUGACAAUGCAGUGAUCAUCAAUAUGCUAAAAGAAAGUUGCUAAUAUUAUAUUUU